rnacentral:rRNA from 1 species
UACGUAGGGUGCAAGCGUUAAUCGGAAUUACUGGGCGUAAAGCGUGCGCAGGCGGUUGUGCAAGACAGAUGUGAAAUCCCCGGGCUCAACCUGGGAACUGCAUUUGUGACUGCACGGCUGGAGUGCGGCAGAGGGGGAUGGAAUUCCGCGUGUAGCAGUGAAAUGCGUAGAUAUGCGGAGGAACACCGAUGGCGAAGGCAAUCCCCUGGGCCUGCACUGACGCUCGUGCACGAAAGCGUGGGGAGCAAACAGG